GGCUCGAUGCUUAUUUGUUUCGUCGAUUUCAGUUAUUCAGGAUUCACUCCACGAACAUAAACAACGGGUGGACUUGCCAAAAAGUACUUUUCCUUCGGAUAAAGAGAGAAGACAUUUCUACCUUAGGUUAAAGAGAGAGAGAGAAGACAUUUCUGUAGAGCAUCAGGUUUAAUCCUUAAUGGGCUUAUAUGCUUAUAGAGAUUGAAUGAUCUUAUUUGUUUGUUAUUCUGUUUAAAUCAAACUUGAACUAAAUUUAUUGUUUGUAUUGGUAUUA